rnacentral:lncRNA from 1 species
AAAUUGUCCGAACAAGACCACCACCCCCUCUGAACCCCCAUUUCGUCUCUCUCAACUCUUCAUCUCUCAGAGACAAAAGGAAACCCUAAGUUGCCACAAAAAACUCCAUGCUCUUUCCGAUGGCGGCGCCACCACCAAACUACCCCAAAUCAACACCCCAAACUCCCCUUCCUCCCUUCAUAUAUAAUUCGUCGUUGUUUCCCUUCGAAUCUUAAAUCCAAGUUCGACCUUUAAAAGUUUAAAAAACAUUUUUCAUCGAACCUGGUAGCAUGCAUGCUCAUAGGGUGUUGUUCUUUCGAGCUUUGAAGUUUGGAUUCAAAAAAAUUGAUGUCGUUCAGUUGUUCUUGACAAAUAACAAAGGAUCAACAUUAGUUUUGUUAGGUCAUUUGUCUCAAGUAGGUUUCGAGUCCUGAUUUGGUAAGUUCCCCCCCCCCCCCCCCCCCCUUUUUUUUUUUUUUUUUUUUUUUUUUUUUUUUUUUUUGUUUUUUUUUUUUUUUUUUUUUUUUUUUUUUUUUUUUUUUNNNNNNNNNNNNNNNNNNNNNNNNNNNNNNNNNNNNNNNNNNNNNNNNNNNNNNNNNNNNNNNNNNNNNNNNNNNNNNNNNNNNNNNNNNNNNNNNNNNNNNNNNNNNNNNNNNNNNNNNNNNNNNNNNNNNNNNNNNNNNNNNNNNNNNNNNNNNNNNNNNNNNNNNNNNNNNNNNNNNNNNNNNNNNNNNNNNNNNNNNNNNNNNNNNNNNNNNNNNNNNNNNNNNNNNNNNNNNNNNNNNNNNNNNNNNNNNNNNNNNNNNNNNNNNNNNNNNNNNNNNNNNNNNNNNNNNNNNNNNNNNNNNNNNNNNNNNNNNNNNNNNNNNNNNNNNNNNNNNNNNNNNNNNNNNNNNNNNNNNNNNNNNNNNNNGGUUUGUUCAUUCCUUUACUAUUUUAUUUCUUUAUUCUCCUUCGAUUUUACAUUGGUUUAGUUUUCUUCUACUAGCUUAUUUGAAAGUAGACCAAUCCUCCGGGUUUAAAUUGUCUUCUGUUCGUUGUUUUUUUUCUUUUUCCUUUGUAAAGGCUUGUUCAAUGUUUUCCUUAAUUGUGCUAUUAGCCUAUUUAAAGUUCUGAUAUCAUAUCUCGUUUAGUCACCUAGUUAAUUUAAUUAAGGUUAUUUUGAUAACUUGGUUAAUUUACUGCUUACUUGUGUGUAGUAAUCAGUCGAUUAGUGUAGGUUUUAAUUCUCAAAAUCAUUCAAGUGAUUGCCCUUUGUUUGUUGACUGAUAUGAUUCAAUUUCUUUUGUUGUUUGGACUUUGAAGCCAUUGCAUACCACACCCCAAUGGGGUUAGUUUAGGUCAUUGGGUCAGAAUUGAGCCCACAGUUGGUUUAACUAUGGGGGCAUUUUGAACCAUUUGGUUUCCUAGAGUAAAAAACAUGGUUUAAAGGGUUGAUUUAGGAACUCUAGGUGGGGAAAUCUCAGUAAGUGAUUGAGUAAGAUUCCUAGAAGUUUGGGUGGGGACCUAACUGAAAAUCGGAAUUUUACACCAAGGUUUCUAAUUAAAAAUGAAAAUAAAAAAAUGUCCUAAAGGCAAAACAUAGUUCAUCUCUGCAGACUUAAUACUUUGCCUAUAAAGGCAUCGUUUCUUUGCCAACAAGGGAAAUUUUGGCAGAUAAAAAUACUAAAAAAUUAAGCAGCUAGAGUUUUUGGGAGGAAAAGUCUGAAAAAAUAUUGAGCGAAAGAAGAAAGAACUUCAAAAUUCUUGUGUUUUUAGUGAACAAUUUGUCUAGUUUUGAGUUAGUCUCUUCAUUCUGAAACCAAAAAGGAUUUUCUUAGCUUAUUCUGGAAUGGAAGCUAGUUUAAGGGAUGUUGUGUCACUGUUCUAUUGAUGAAAUUCUGAAGUGCUUCCGUUGUUUGCUUCUUCUUUGUUGAACUACUACUACUGUUGUCAAAUAACUGCAAGAUCAUUGUAUUUAGUUUGGGACCAUUAUGAUACUUGGGAAAUAUUUUAGUUGGUUGAAUCGGUAGUUUUAGACUCUACAUUCCAUCGCUUAAAUAAUGUAAUUGGGUAGAUAAAUGUUUCUUUUAAGAUUCGUGUGUAUAAAAUCGUGUUGAGAGAAAAUGAAAAGGAAAUGGUCUAGUUUGCUUCAAUGGGUAAAAACAUGCAUUGAUUAGCAUGUGAAUGUCUUUAAACUUAGAAAUGGCUGUCAGUUCAAUUCUAGUUAGUGAUUGAAUAACUAGUAAUUGUCAGUUUAAUUUUGCUUCUAUUCAGUGUCAAUCUUACAGGAACUACUAAUAUGGGACUCAUUUGAUGUUUAAAUUCUCAUGUCAUUACUUCAAGUUAGCUUGAAACCUUAAUAUUUAAAGUUAUAUAUUAUCCAGCUAUCAAAUUGGAAUUUUCAAUUAUUUUCGAAAUUAUGUCAUUAUUAAAAUCUCAUGAAAUUGUCCAUUACGUAGUUAAAAGCUAUUUUGAAAAUCGUCUGCAUAUACAUUUGUGUUUUGGUGAUAGUAAUUCAGGUUCACAUCGGCACCCAUUGAUUUUUCAGAUGCAGCUUGGCUUUUAAGGAUUCGAAGUCGAGUCCUCACUUGCUAAUCUCAGGCUCCUGAAAGUUUUGGGCUCAUCUUGGACUUAAGUCUGAAAAGACUUGCAAAAUCGAAACUACGCACUUUGUAUCAUUUAGGUUUGUUUUGCUCUGUUGGCUCGGUUCUCUCGUUUGUUUGGGUUGUUGACGAAGUAAUGUCUCUUUAGGUAAUUGUUUGUUUAAUAAGACGCUCAUGGGUAGCUGAUUUAGUUCGAACUUUUAGCAUAUAGGUAUUUUGAAUGCCUUUAGGUUUCUCCUUAAUUAACUAGAUUUUUUAAAAUGAGUUGAGGUGUGCCAUAUUAGCCAAAUGUAUAAUUUGUGGCCCUUAUGAGCUUAUUUAGAAACCUUGUUUGUUAGAAAAAUCAAGGCGCGCCAUGCCAAGUAAAAGAUUCAAAAUGCACGGCCCUCAUUUAAUUGAUCUUGAACCUUUGGAAAUCGAGGUGUGCCAUUAGCUUAAUUUUCAUGGCCCUCGCAACCAAGCGGGGGAUAAUAUCAUUCAAGCAUAGCUUCAGGCAAGGGAAUGGAGUGGCACACGUUUUGGCAAAUGCAGCACUAAGAAAUAACUCUUUUGAUAAGCUAUACAGUUUUGGUACACCUCCUGAUUUUGAUAGGGCCGUCUAUGAGAAUGAUAUGGAGGACUAUGUUUAUGUUAGAACUAGUUGUAUUAAAUAAUGUGAAGAUUUAGCUGCACUAGGAAAUAUGAGUGCCAUAUGUAGCCUAAUGAUAGAUUCUAAUGAUGCAUGUAUGACAAACAUCCAUAGGGGAAACCAUCUCUCUCUACUUAACUUAAUAUGUAUACAUAUAUAAAAUAUGUUUUCUGUUUCAAAAAUAAAAAUGUGCUACUUAUCCCUCUCUAUGUAACUUAAUAUGUGUUUAUAUAUAUAUAUAUAUAUAAUAUGAUUUCUGUUUCAAAAAUAAAAAGGUGCUACUUCACAAUGCCUUAAAAGAAAAUCUUAAAUUAUAUUUAAUCAGAGAGCCAUAUUUACACAAAACCAUCCGAACCCUAAAAAAAAGGAGUGCAUUUAUUGUUGGUUGAUGAAGUUGCUGGACAGAAGUAAAUUUUUUUAAUUUUUGAGACGCAAAACUGGAACUAAUAGUACAGACGUGAAAUACCAUCAAAUAUGCAUAUGAAGUUUAAAUAGCAAGAGUAAUAGAGACGUAGCAGAAGAAAAACAUUUAAUAUCACAUUUUAAGGUAGCCUGCAAUAUCAGAAAACAUUUAAUACUAGCAUGUAGUUUCUUUAGUUGUUUCUGUAGAAAAGAAUUUGUUCUUUAAUUGCAAAUAACCAUCGGGAAGAUUUCACUUUUGUUUUGGGAUGUCAAACCAAGACUUGUCUAUUUUUCUCCCCCUCCACUAAUUAAUUUUCUUUGCUUCAUUUAACGUGUUCUUUGCAUCAUCAUUUCAGGUUCAAUAUCACGUUUUAAGGUACAUACAAAACUGGUAGCCUGCACAAUCAGAAAAUUCAUCCAGUGCAUUAAAGGCUUAGCUCUUCUUGGCAGCUAGCUUUUCUGGAUCUUUGAAAAGAAUGGAUUUCUGUAGAAAAGAAUUUGUUCUUUAAUUGCAAAUAACCAUCGAGAAUAUUUCACUUUUGUUUUGGGAUGUCAAACAAAGACUUGUCUAUUUUUCUCCCUCUUCACUAAUUAAUUUUCUUAGCUUUAUUUAACGUGUUUUUGCAUCAUCAUUUCAGGUUCAAUAUCACAUUUUAAGGUACAUACAAAAUUGGUAGCCUGCACUAUCAGAAAAUUCAUCCAGUGCAUUAAAGGCUUAGCUCUUCUUGGCAGCUAGCUUUUCUGGAUAUUCAAAACCCCUUCCACCAACACACCACCAUAACCAUCAGCGCCGUUUCCUGACCUCUUGUAUUCAGUAGGCCUCAAGUGAGGAAUUCUUUUUCCACUACGUACCCCUCUUCUUGGAUUUGGUAGCAUAUAUAUAGCUGUAAGUAAUUAGUCGUUGCACCAUUUGUUAUUCUUUCUUUGUUUUGUGGUUUGUAAGUGUUCACAUUUGCUUAUAAUCUUUGAUAUCGCAAUUCUUAGACUGUAAUAGGAGGUUUAGCUUUUUGGUUUUGACUGUUUAAGAGUUUAAUACUAACAUGUAGUUUCUUUAGUUGUUUUUGUAGAAAAGAAUUAGUUUGAUAAUUGCAAAUAACCACCGGGAAGAUUUCACUUUUGUUUUGGGAUGUCAAACAAACACUUGCCUAUUUUUCUCCCCUCCACUAACUAAUUUUCUUAGCUUCAACUGUACGUACUUGUUGAAGCCAUUUAAUUCUUUGCAUCAUCAUUUCAGGUUCUUUUUAUUAGUGUCCUACAUUAACAUUGUUCUCGCCAGUCUUUUCAGAUUGGGUUGAUCUGCUGAUUUGAUCAGGUAGCUAUUUAUAAAUUUGAGUUUGCAUUGCUAUCUAGUAAGAUUUGAAAAAUUCUAGUAGUAAUGAAUACUAAAGAAUUCCAUUAUGUCAUUCAGGUUAAGAUGUUGCGCCGCACAAUCAGUUGUCCAAUAGCCUAUUCCCAGAGGUAUAUUACUGCUCUCAAAACUUGAUGCUUAGUGAAAUAAUUAGAAGUAGAGUUGUAACAACAAAGGAGCUUUAGUGUUUCCAUAGACUUAAUUCCUUGGAUAAUUAUAGUUAUCAAAAUUAUAUAUUUAAUAAAGUUACCGUCCAUGAGAAGGAUAUGGAGGACUAUGUUUAUGUAUGAACUAGUAGUGUUAAACAAUGUGAAGAUCUAGCUGCACUAGGAAAUAUGAGUGUCAUAUGUAGCCUAAUGAUAGAUUCUAAUGAUGCAUGUAUGUCAAACAUCCAUAGGGGGAAACCAUCCCUCUCUAUUUAACUUUAUAUAUAUAUAUAUAUAUAUAAAAUAUGCUUUCUGUUUCAAAAAUAAAAAGGUGCUACUUCACAAUGCCUUAAAAGAAAAUCUUAAAAUAUAUUUAAUCAGAGACUCAUAUUUACACAAAACCAUCCGAACCCUAAAAAAAAGGAGUGCAUUUAUUGUUGGUUGGGAUGUCAAACAAAGACUUGUCUAUUUUUCUCCCCCUCCACUAAUUAAUUUUCUUAGCUUCAUUUAACGUAUUCUUUGCAUCAUCAUUUCAGGUUCAAUAUGACAUUUUAAGGUACAUACAAAAUUGGUAGCCUGCACUAUCAGAAAAUUCAUCCAGUGCAUUAAAGGCUUAGCUCUUCUUGGCAGGUAGCUUUUCUGGAUAUUCAAAAACUCUUCCACCAACACACCACCAUAAUCAUCAGCACCGUUUCCUGACCUCAUGUAUUCAGUAGGCCUCAAGUGAGGAAUUCUUUUUCCACUACGUACCCCUCUUCUUGGAUUUGGUAGCAUAUAUAUAUAUAUAUAUAUAUAGCUGUAAGUAAUUAGUCGUUGCACCAUUUUUUAUUCUUUCUUUGUUUUGUGGUUUGUAAGUAUUCACAUUUUGCUUAUAAUCUUUGAUAUCGCAAUUCUUAGACUGCAAUAGGAGGUUUAGCUUUUUGGUUUUGACUGUUUAAGAGUUUAAUACUAGCAUGUAGUUUCUUUAGUUGUUUCAGUAGAAAAGAAUUAGUUUGAUAAUUGCAAAUAACCACCGGGAAGAUUUCACUUUUGUUUUGGGAUGUCAAACAAACACUUGCCUAUUUUUCUCCCCCUCCACUAACUAAUUUUCUUAGCUUCAACUGUACGUACUUGUUGAAGCCAUUUAAUUCUUUGCAUCAUCAUUUCAGGUUCUUUUUAUUAGUGUCCUACAUUAACAUUGUUCUCGCCAGUCUUUUCAGAUUGGGUUGAUCUGCUGAUUUGAUCAGGUAGCUAUUUAUAAAUUUGAGUUUGCAUUGCUAUCUAGUAAGAUUUGAAAAAUUCUAGUAGUAAUGAAUACUAAAGAAUUCCAUUAUGUCAUUCAGGUUAAGAUGUUGCGCCGCACAAUCAGUUGUCCAAUAGCCUAUUCCCAGAGGUAUAUUACUGCUCUCAAAACUUGAUGCUUAGUGAAAUAAUUAGAAGUAGAGUUGUAACAACAAAGGAGCUUUAGUGUUUCCAUAGAGUUAAUUCCUUGGAUAAUUAUAGUUAUCAAAAUUAUAUAUUUUAUAUAGUUACUAGGUAUUCCUUGUAAAGCAUUGGCCGGUAAGGAUACCGACGUUUGCGGUCACUAUUGCGGUCGAUCUGAUAGAGAUGUAAUCUGAUCCCAACAAUAUCAAAUUAUUAAUAUAAACAACUCAACACCAAUAUUUACGAAAUAUCAACAAAAAAGAAGAUGAAACGUAUAAAACAUUAAAGAAUCACUAAUACAACUGAUAAAAUCCAAUACCUCGAAAUCCCAAAAAAUAUGAAGUAAAUGAACAAACUACGAUGUAUCACAAAAUUAAAAGCAAUAAAAGAGUUAAAUAAACAAAGUCACAACAACAACAACAACAACAACAACCCAAUGUAGUCCUACAAGUGGAGUCUGGGGACGGUUGGAUGUAUGCAACCUUACCCUACCCUGGAAGGAAAGAGAGACUUUUUUCGAUAGCUCAAAAAAAUCAAAUAGCAAGUGAUGACAACUCAUAAAUAAAAACACGGUUAUAAAAAAACAAUUAACAAGUAAGGCAUGCAACAGAUAAAGGCAUGAUUCGACAAGUAAUCGCGAUUAAAAUUUUUAAGCAUAUAAGAGUAUAUUUCACAAUAAAGGUAGAACAUGUACUAACAACUUCAAUUUAAUGCAUGAAAUAAGACUAAGAGUCUGAACCGAACAAAUACCACAUAUAAGCCCGUGUACACACCCAUCACCUCGUGUACUCGCCUUUCUCGCAAUUCAAAUAGUACAAUCAACCCAAAUCUUAAGGGGUGGUUUCCCCUACACAAAGUUAAGCAAGAUACUUACCUCAAUUACGCUAAUUCGAAACCCAAAAUAGCGUUUUCUUUAAAAGUUACAUCCGCCUCGUUUAAAUCUAGCAAAAACUAACUUAAUAAUAUCAAAAAAUACAAGGGAACCAAUUCCAAUUAAUAGAGCUAUAAUCUUUAUAUAUUUUUUCAAAAGUCAAAAUUAGGCUCACCCGGUAAAAACCCGAGUCGAAGGGUAGCCAUAGCCCUGCGAGUUCAUAUAUAUGGUUUGUUUUCAAUUCCGAGUCAAAUUUCUCUUAAAUCUUAAAUUUUUAUUUUUCAGAUCAUAAUAAAAAAUCCCUAAAUUUUCCCUUCAAAACCCAUGAAUUUGACGUUAAAUCUCAUAAAUAAUCAUGUAAUAUAAUUAAAAAUGGAUUAAAGUGACUUAUCGAAUAGUUUGGUAUGAAAAUCUCUCAACAAAUUGAAAUCGCCUCCCGCCAAGUCUGGGAUUCCAAAUAUGAUAAGAUGAAGGUAAGUCCUGAAAUACUCAGCGAUUAACAAACUGCACAAGUGACAUGCGCAAUUGCGGAAAAAGGAUCACAAAAGCGAAACCUAGCCAGACCUACUAAUGUCGCAUUUGUUACAAUAAACUUUGCCAUUGCGAAGGUGUUUCCCCGUAGAGGCUCAUUGCAAAAGCGACUCUAGUGCCCCAAAAGCUAGCUCCAGUGUAUAUAAUUGUGAUACAAUCCCCGUAAAUGCGAGGUCCCUUCCCCAGCAGUCCUGAUUCACAACUGCGAGAUGAAACCACCACCCUCACACAAAAUUCUAACAAAAUACAUAUAAAACUCACCUGACCCCUGGGGGAUCCACAUCAAACAUUCACACAAGUCUAAAAAUAUUAUACGAACUCGAUCACACGAUCGAAAUACUAAAAUAGCAUCCACAAGAACUCUAUCACACGAUCGAAAUACUAAAAUAGCAUCCAGAACCAUCGAUCGGACACCAAAAUGCAUGAAAAUCACUAUGUGCUUUAAGAACUUCUUGAAUUGAAACCAAGCGUCCAAAUAAUAUCACACCAAUUUUAAAUGAUUCCAAAUUUUGCAGACGAGUUCUAAAUAGAAAAACGGAUCUAAUCCAUGUCCCAACACUAAAAACUGAACCCGAUAACCUUAAAGUUAAACCAUGGUCAAACUUAGGUAAAUUUUGAAUAUUUAAAUUGUCAACUUUCGGCAUAACAAGUCAAAUCAGUCUAGGGAUCUCUAAAUUAAAUUUCGAAAAUAUUGUCGAAGUUCAAAAUAACCGUACGAACCCAACUAAAACAUCAAAACUCUGAUCCGAGAUUAAAUAAGUAGAAACUUAAACUUUUUUGCACUUUUAAUUUUUUUGUAUAUAUAUUAUGGAGGUGUACAUUGUGUACUUGUUUAUGUUUUUUGUUCAAUCUUACUCUGUCAUAUUUCUUGUUACAUGAUUGAUUUGAAAAGAUUACGAUGAACUAAUUAAGAUUUCCAUCAUUUAGAGAAUUAAAUAUGUUGCAGCGAGGAAGGAGUUGUCCGCCAUCCUUUUCUGAGAGGUAAAUUCUAAAAAUUAACAGUCUCCUCUAUUUAAACAUACGUUUUUCCUCGAAUGUUCCAGGAGUCGUUCCAAAGCUAUCAAAUCACUGCAUAGGCUUUAUCUUAAGGAUACAAUGUCUUGAAGUUUUGAACCGAGAAAAACUGAACUUUGGGAUACAAGACAUUGUAUCCUUAGGUUCAAGCUUAUGCAGUGACUUGAUAGCUUUGGAACGACUCCAGGAACAUUCGAGGAAAAACGUAUGUUUAAAUAGAGGAGACUGUAACGAACCAACUAGUCAUUUUAAGCAUUUGCAAUUUGUCCGGCGGUUUGAGGUCGCGAAUAGCUUCACAUGGUGUAUUUUUUGAAUAUCGAGUGGUUCGGGAUUGAUUUGGGUGAAUGUUUCUCAUUUUUGAAGGUUUAAGUUGGAAGAUCGAGUGGUUCGGGAUUGAUUUAGGUGAAUGUUUCUCAUUUUUGAAGGUUUAAGUUGGAAGGGUAGACCAAGUUUAACUUUCUACUUAUUUAAUCUCGGAUCAGAGUUUUGAUGUUUUAGUUGGGUUCGUACGGUUAUUUUGAACUUCGACAAUAUUUUCGGAAUUUAAUUCAGGGAUCCCAAAACUGGAACUAAUAGUACAGACUUGAAAUACCAAAACAAAAGUGAAAUCUUCCCGGUGGUUAUUUGCAAUUAUCGAACUAAUUCUUUU